UACGGAGGGUGCAAGCGUUUAUCCGGAUUCACUGGGUUUAAAGGGUGCGUAGGUGGGCAGUUAAGUCAGUGGUGAAAUCUCCGAGCUUAACUCGGAAACUGCCAUUGAUACUAUCUGUCUUGAAUAUCGUGGAGGUAAGCGGAAUAUGUCAUGUAGCGGUGAAAUGCUUAGAUAUGACAUAGAACACCAAUUGCGAAGGCAGCUUACUACCCGAAUAUUGACACUGAGGCACGAAAGCGUGGGGAUCAAACAGG
rnacentral:rRNA from 1 species